rnacentral:rRNA from 1 species
AUAUUACUAAGCGGAGGAAAAGAAAUUAACGAAGAUUGCCUCAGUAGCGGCGAGCGAAGUGGCAAAAGCUCAAGUCUAAUCUGCGGCCGGAAGGUCGUCGAAUUGUAAUCUAAAGGUCAGUGCAAAAGGGGAGGCCGAGGCAUAAGUUGCUUGGAACAGCAGGCCAAAGAGGGUGAUAGUCCCGUAUUUGGCCUCAGCCGAACCGAAUGCAUAAACCAAAGAGUCGGGUUGUUUGGGAUUGCAGCCCAAAAUGGGAGAUAAACUUCUUCUAAGGCUAAAUAUUGAUGGGAGACCGAUAGCGCACAAGUA